GAUACUUUGCCCUUUCCUCAGUUGCCACCAAGGUGCUUGGUCCUUCCGAGGAAGCUAAGGCCACAUUGGGGUGAGGCCAUCACUUCAUCCAGUGACUAGCACCACCUCUGGCAAUGUCAGCCCCACACUCGCCCGCGCCAUGGCCUCCAUCUCCGAGCUUGCCUGUGUCUACUUGGCCCUCAUUCUGCACGAUGACGAGGUGAUCAUCAUGGAGGUUAAUAUCAAUACCCUCAUUAAAGCAGCCAGUGUAAAUGUUGAACCUUUUGGCCUGGCUUGUUUGGAAAGGCCCUGGCCAACGUCAACAUUGGAAGCCUCAUCUGCAAUGUAGGGGCUGGUGGACCUGCUCUAGCAGCUGGUGCUGCACCAGCAGGAGGUCCUGCCCCCUCCAUUGCUGCUGCUUCAGCUGAGGAGAAGAAAAUGGAAGCAAAGAAAGAAGAAUCUGAGGAGUCUGAUGAUGACAUGGGCUUUGGUCUUUUUACUAAACCUGUUUUAUAAUGUGUUCAAUAAAAAGCUGACUUUA
rnacentral:lncRNA from 1 species